rnacentral:rRNA from 1 species
UACGAAGGGGGCUAGCGUUGCUCGGAAUCACUGGGCGUAAAGCGCACGUAGGCGGCUUUUUAAGUCAGGGGUGAAAUCCUGGAGCUCAACUCCAGAACUGCCUUUGAUACUGAGAGCUUGAGUCCGGGAGAGGUGAGUGGAACUGCGAGUGUAGAGGUGAAAUUCGUAGAUAUUCGCAAGAACACCAGUGGCGAAGGCGGCUCACUGGCCCGAUACUGACGCUGAGGCACGAAAGCGUGGGGAGCAAACAGGG